GUGCAUGGCGCGUGCUAUACAUGCAGUCGAGCGAAGUUAUUUUGGAAGCUUGCUUCCGAAAUAACUUAGCGGCGGACGGGUGAGUAAUACGUAGGCAACCUGCCCCUCAGCCUGGGAUAACUAGCGGAAACGUUAGCUAAUACCGGAUAAUUUGCUUUUUCGCAUGAAGAAGCAAUGAAAGACGGAGCAAUCUGUCACUAAGGGAUGGGCCUACGGCGCAUUAGCUAGUUGGUGAGGUAAUGGCUCACCAAGGCGACGAUGCGUAGCCGACCUGAGAGGGUGAACGGCCACACUGGGACUGAGACACGGCCCAGACUCCUACGGGAGGCAGCAGUAGGGAAUCUUCCGCAAUGGACGCAAGUCUGACGGAGCAACGCCGCGUGAGUGAUGAAGGUUUUCGGAUCGUAAAGCUCUGUUGCCAGGGAAGAACGUCUUGGAGAGUAACUGCUCUAAGAGUGACGGUACCUGAGAAGAAAGCCCCGGCUAACUACGUGCCAGCAGCCGCGGUAAUACGUAGGGGGCAAGCGUUGUCCGGAAUUAUUGGGCGUAAAGCGCGCGCAGGCGGUCAUUUAGGUCUGGUGUUUAAUCCCGGGGCUCAACUCCGGGUCGCACUGGAAACUGGGUGGCUUGAGUGCAGAAGAGGAGAGUGGAAUUCCACGUGUAGCGGUGAAAUGCGUAGAGAUGUGGAGGAACACCAGUGGCGAAGGCGACUCUCUGGGCUGUAACUGACGCUGAGGCGCGAAAGCGUGGGUAGCAAACAGGAUUAGAUACCCUGGUAGUCCACGCCGUAAACGAUGAAUGCUAGGUGUUAGGGGUUUCGAUACCCUUGGUGCCGAAGUAAACACAUUAAGCAUUCCGCCUGGGGAGUACGGUCGCAAGACUGAAACUCAAAGGAAUUGACGGGGACCCGCGCAAGCAGUGGAGUAUGUGGUUUAAUUCGAAGCAACGCGAAGAACCUUACCAGGUCUUGACAUCCCUCUGACCGGUACAGAGAUGUACCUUUCCUUCGGGACAGAGGAGACAGGUGGUGCAUGGUUGUCAUCAGCUCGUGUCGUGAGAUGUUGGGGUUAAGUCCCGCCACGAGCGCACCCUUGAUCUAGUUGCCAGCAUUUCGGAUGGGCACCUUCUAAAGGUGACUGCCGGGUGACAAACCGGAGGAAAA
rnacentral:rRNA from 1 species